rnacentral:rRNA from 1 species
UACAGAGGUCUCAAGCGUUGUUCGGAUUCAUUGGGCGUAAAGGGUGCGUAGGCGGCGUGGUAAGUCGGGUGUGAAAUCUCGGAGCUUAACUCCGAAACUGCAUUCGAUACUGCCGCGCUUGAGGACUGGAGAGGAGACUGGAAUUUACGGUGUAGCGGUGAAAUGCGUAGAUAUCGUAAGGAAGACCAGUGGCGAAGGCGGGUCUCUGGACAGUUCCUGACGCUGAGGCACGAAGGUCAGGGGAGCAAACGGG